UACGUAGGGUGCGAGCGUUAAUCGGAAUUACUGGGCGUAAAGCGUGCGCAGGCGGUUUUGUAAGCCAGAUGUGAAAUCCCCGGGCUUAACCUGGGAAUGGCAUUUGGGACUGCAAGGCUUGAGUGCGGCAGAGGAGACUGGAAUUCCCGGUGUAGCAGUGAAAUGCGUAGAUAUCAGAAGGAACAUCAGUGGCGAAAGCGGCUUCCUGGACCAGAACUGACGAUCAGGCACGAAAGCGUGGGGAGCAAACGGG
rnacentral:rRNA from 1 species